UACGUAGGUGGCAAGCGUUAUCCGGAAUUAUUGGGCGUAAAGCGCGCGUAGGCGGUUUCUUAAGUCUGAUGUGAAAGCCCACGGCUCAACCGUGGAGGGUCAUUGGAAACUGGGGAACUUGAGUGCAGAAGAGGAGAGUGGAAUUCCAUGUGUAGCGGUGAAAUGCGCAGAGAUAUGGAGGAACACCAGUGGCGAAGGCGGCUCUCUGGUCUGUAACUGACGCUGAGGUUCGAAAGCGUGGGUAGCAAACA
rnacentral:rRNA from 1 species